AGAGAUGUGUGAUGACGCAUAUCAAUAAGCGGAGGAAAAGAAACUAACAAGGAUUCCCUUAGUAACGGCGAGUGAAGCGGGAAGAGCUCAAAUUUGAAAUCUUCAAGGUUUUACCUUGACGAAUUGUAGUUUAAAGAAGUGUUUUCUGUUGGAGUUUUGGUAAAAGUUCUUUGGAAUAGGACAUCAUAGAGGGUGAGAAUCCCGUAUUUGACCAUUAUUUCCAGCUGUGUGAUACACUUUCAAAGAGUCGGAUUGUUUGGGAAUGCAGUCCAAAAUGGGUGGUAAAUUUCAUCUAAAGCUAAAUAUUGGCGAGAGACCGAUAGCGUACAAGUACCGUGAGGGAAAGAUGAAAAGAACUUUGAAAAGAGAGUUAAACAGUACGUGAAAUUGUCAAAAGGGAAGCGUUUGACACCAGUGUUGUUUUCUCGAAAAUCAAUUAAAAAUGGCUCGAUUUUGGUAUGUACUGAGACCUUUAUAAGCUUCACUGUACAUUUUUCUUAUCUUUUUUAAUGCACUUUUCGUUUAACAAGUCAACAUCAAUUUCUUUUGUUGUAAAAGAGUCAUUGGAAGGUGGCUUUCUUUUCGGAGAAAGUGUUUAUAGCCUUUGGCCUCUGCAAUCGGAGAGACUGAGGUCUGCAGCGUAGACUCUUCGGGGUUAGAUACAUUUGCGCUAAGUUAUAGCUUUUUAUAGACAACUUGUUGACUAUAAUUAGUCUUGUAGCUUACUCGCUUAUGCUAUUUUACCUACGCUUAGGAUGUUGACGCAUGAGAUAUACGC
rnacentral:rRNA from 1 species